UACGUAGGUGGCAAGCGUUGUCCGGAUUUACUGGGCGUAAAGGGCGUGCAGGCGGUCUGUUAAGUUCAGGGUGAAAGCUCCCGGCUCAACUGGGAGAGGUCCUUGGAUACUGGCAGACUUGAGGGAGGUAGAGGAGAGUGGAAUUCCCGGUGUAGUGGUGAUAUGCGUAGAUAUCGGGAGGAACACCAGUGGCGAAGGCGGCUCUCUGGGCCGAUACUGACGCUGAGGAGCGAAAGCGUGGGGAGCGAACAGG
rnacentral:rRNA from 1 species